ACUGUGUAGGUGGACAUAGCUCACCUCUUCAUACAACCACAUCAAAGUUACAACUACUAUAUAGAACAACCAACACUCAGAACCUUCAGAAAUCAAAUUGAAAGAAAGUCU